GACGAACGCUGGCGGCGUGCUUAACACAUGCAAGUCGAACGGAAAGGCCCUUCUUUUGUUGUUUGCUCGAGUGGCGAUCGGGUGUGUAUCACGUGAGUAACCUUCCCUUUACUUUGGGAUAACUCCAGGUAACUGGUGCUAAUACCCGAUAUGAGCUCCUGCUGCAUGUUGUGGGUUGGAUAGUUUCGGCGGUUGUGGAUGGACUCGCUGCUUAUCAGCUUCUUGGUGGGGUAGUGGCUUACCAAGGAUUUGACGGGUAGCCGGCCUGAGAGGGUGACCGGAAACAUUGGGACUGAGAAACGGACAAGACUCAUAGGGGAGGAAGCAGGGGGAGAUAUUACAGAAGGGGAGGAAGGCUGAUGUAGCAACGUCCUGAGCGGGAUGAAGGACUUCGGGUUGAAAACGGCUAUGGCCGGUGACGAAGAGUGAGUGACGGUAAUGAGUAAAGAAGCACCGGCUAACUAAGUG
rnacentral:rRNA from 1 species